UCCAAAGCUGACUGGUUACCAAGGAGACAA
rnacentral:piRNA from 1 species